ACCACUUCCUGCUGCCUUGAGUUAAGAUGAGGGACUCUCAGCUGUUUCUCCAGCACCAUGUCUGCCUGUGUGCCACCAUGUUGCACCAUGAUGAUAAUGGACUAAACCUCUAAAAAUAGCAAUGAGAAAGGUAAACACCACCACAACUGGUUGUGUAAAGAAGUCUUCAAAAGUGUGAAAUAAGAACACUGGUACAUGUGUGUAAAAGAGCUAUGUGAAUAGCAUACACGCUGAAUGGCCAAUAGUGAUGCAUGAUUUCUGGGAAGAGAGGAUGCUGGGAAGAAGAAGAGUGGAGUUGCAAGACUCAGAGGAAGCAGGAUGGGCAAUACAGAAUAAAGGUAACCAAACCACGUAAAAGAACAUAGGUUAAAAGAUAUGGGUUAAUUUAAGUUGUAAGACUAGUUAGGAACAAGCCUAAGCUAAGGCUGAGCUUUCAUAAUUAAUAAUAAAUGUCCAUGUCAGUGUCAUUUUGUGUGUGUGAGCUGGCAGCCCAAAAUAACUGUCUACAAAUGGUGCCCGACAUGGGGCUCAAAUAUCCAAACAUAGGGCCUGAGAAAGAAAAAAAAAAAAA